UACGGAGGGUGCAAGCGUUAUCCGGAUUCACUGGGUUUAAAGGGUGCGUAGGAGGGCAGGUAAGUCAGUGGUGAAAUCUCCAAGCUUAACUUGGAAACUGCCGUUGAUACUAGCUGUCUUGAAUACCGUGGAGGUGAGCGGAAUAUGUCAUGUAGCGGUGAAAUGCUUAGAUAUGACAUAGGACACCAAUUGCGAAGGCAGCUCGCUACACGAAUAUUGACUCUGAGGCACGAAAGCGUGGGGAUCAAACAGG
rnacentral:rRNA from 1 species